ACGGGUGAGUAACGCGUAGGAAUCUGCCUUAUAGAGGGGGACACCCCGAGGAAACUCGGGCUAAUACCGCAUGAACUCGAGAGAGUAAAGUUAGGAGGUAACUUCUGACGCUAUAAGAGGAGCCUGCGUCCGAUUAGCUAGUUGGAGAGGUAAAAGCUCACCAAGGCGAAGAUCGGUAGCUGGUCUGAGAGGAUGAUCAGCCACACUGGGACUGAGACACGGCCCAGACUCCUACGGGAGGCAGCAGUGGGGAAUAUUGGACAAUGGGGGCAACCCUGAUCCAGCAAUGCCGCGUGUGUGAAGAAGGCCUUCGGGUUGUAAAGCACUUUAGUUGGGGAAGAAGGUAUGAUGUUUAAGAGAUGUUAUAUUUGACGGUACCCAAAGAAUAAGCACCGGCUAACUCUGUGCCAGCAGCCGCGGUAAUACAGAGGGUGCAAGCGUUAAUCGGAGUUACUGGGCGUAAAGGGCGCGUAGGCGGAUAGUUAAGUUUGAUGUGAAAUCCCUGGGCUUAACCUAGGAAUGGCAUUGAAUACUGGCGAUCUGGAGUACUGUAGAGGGUAGUGGAAUUUCCGGUGUA
rnacentral:rRNA from 1 species